rnacentral:rRNA from 1 species
UACAGGGGGGCGAGCGUUGUUCGGAAUUACUGGGCGUAAAGGGUUUGUAGGUGGCUUGCGUCGAGUCAGACGUGAAAUCCCUCAGCUUAACUGGGAACUGCGUCUGAUACUAGCGAGCUGAGUGCAGGAGAGGAACGCGGAAUUCCAGGUGUAGCGGUAGAAAUGUCGCAGAUAUCAGGAGGAACACCAUAGGCGAAGGCAGCUCGCUGGACGUGACUGACGCUGAGACGCGAAAGCGUGGGGGAGCAAACAGG